rnacentral:tRNA from 1 species
GCCCUCGGUGGCUCAGAUGGAUAGAGCGUCUGCCAUGUAAGCAGAAGAUCCCGGGUUCGAGUCCUGGUCAGGGCA